CUCGCUAGGGGAGUGGACGGGACUAACCUAAACCUUAAAAACGAUGCUCAAUUUGCUAAGCGCUAGCUUAAAAUGUAUGAAAUCGACGAGGAACUGUCCGUGGAAUCCCAUAAAGAUAACAACAGGCCAUGGCUGUGGUAUUUAUGCCUGAACUCAGCAGUCCAGCAGAUGGCAGCAGGAGGCUGAUGCUUCGGAUCACAGAGUCACUCGACGCCCAAUUAAGCUGCACGCAGGCACGUCUUCCUCUCCGUGCCCUUGAAAAUAUAUUUUUACCGGGCUCUUCUGACGGGCUGCCUCUUUGUCUCCAGCUCGCAGCUUCACACAAUGACGACGAGGAAGGAUAGAGGACACGGAGCUCACGUGUUUCGGCCUCUGGAUUCACGAAGCGGCACAAAGGGACAAGAGCUGCAGUUUUGGGGCCCGUUGAAUUAUACAUCAGCUUUUUCAGCAAAAAAAUCUGAGCUCCUUUCAGAGGGGCGGUGCCGUUCCUACUUCACAAGCCCCCGCUCCCUUGGAUCCAGUGGAAUCCAAUUGUUUAUAAUUGAUUUAUGUAAAGCUGUGUCGCAGUUUUUGGUGAAUAAUGUGAAUUAUCCUGCUGUAAUCUGUACGUGAAGGCCUCUGUGCAGCCUCGGUUGCGACGUCGUCUGUACAUUGCAUACACAGUCGGACUGAGUAUUAUUGCACAUCUAUGUCAUUCCAGGGAAAUCCCCCCCCCCACCCCCCCAUUCCCGGGUCUCCCCAGCUGUUGUCUCAAUCCCGUCUUUUAAACCCCACGUUAAUAAAACAGUAAUUGGAAGAGC